rnacentral:rRNA from 1 species
CCAAACUGUUGCCUCGGCGGGGUCACGCCCCGGGUGCGUCGCAGCCCCGGAACCAGGCGCCCGCCGGAGGGACCAACCAAACUCUUUUCUGUAGUCCCCUCGCGGACGUUAUUUCUUACAGCUCUGAGCAAAAAUUCAAAAUGAAUCAAAACUUUCAACAACGGAUCUCUUGGUUCUGGCAUCGAUGAAGAACGCAGCGAAAUGCGAUAAGUAAUGUGAAUUGCAGAAUUCAGUGAAUCAUCGAAUCUUUGAACGCACAUUGCGCCCGCCAGUAUUCUGGCGGGCAUGCCUGUCCGAGCGUCAUUUCAACCCUCGAACCCCUCCGGGGGGUCGGCGUUGGGGACCUCGGGAGCCCCUAAGACGGGAUCCCGGCCCCGAAAUACAGUGGCGGUCUCGCCGCAGCCUCUCCUGCGCAGUAGUUUGCACAACUCGCACCGGGAGCGCGGCGCGUCCACGUCCGUAAAACACCCAACUUCUGAAAUGUUGACCUCGGAUCAGGUAGGAAUACCCGCUGAACUUAAGCAUAUCAAUAAGCGGAGGAAAUCC